CAACCAAUGCAUGUACAGAUUUAAUUGAAAAAGGAUGUUGGUACAUGAAGAAGCAGCUGCCUAGUAUGCAUUCAAUGUGGAACUAUUGCCCUGCAUCUCCGAAUAUUGGUGGAGCAAAUAUGACGGAGGAAAUCUCCACUGAAUUGUUACAAGGUAUCCAACUCCGAGCCCAUGUAGGACAAGAGGAAAGAAUUUGCAGCUGGAGAAACUGAUAGAAGAUGUGGCAUCUUUAAAACAAAAAUACAAAACGGUUGUUAAAGGGAUUGCCCAAUUUUUGUUGCCAUUGUUAAAGAAAAAGUUAACACAUUGCUGUGUUGAAGAAAGCUCACAAGAGUUUGCUGGAGAAGAGAAACACUAAUGGCGAGAUGUUGAAUGAAGAUUGUGUUCUCUGCUAAGCAGGCACUGGUUUGCAUGAUGGCUUGUGUUUAAUAUUACUUGAUCAGGGUUCAUACAGGUCAUCAAAAUCCUGCAAC